rnacentral:rRNA from 1 species
AAUGUGAAUUGCAGAAUUCAGUGAAUUCAUCGAAUCUUUGAACGCACAUUGCGCCCUGUGGUAUUCCGCAGGGCAUGCCUGUUCGAGCGUCAUUUAACCACUCACGCUUAGCGUGGUAUUGGAGCACGCGGUCUCGCGGCCCUCAAAAUUAGUGGCGGCGCCGGUGGGCUCUAAGCGUAGUACAUACUCCCGCUAUAGAGUUUCUCCGGUGGCUCGCCAGAACCCCCAAUUUUUUACAGGUUGACCUCGGAUCAGGUAGGGAUACCCGCUGAACUUAAGCAUAUCAAUAAGCGGAGGAAAAGAAACCAACAGGGAUUACCUCAGUAACGGCGAGUGAAGCGGUAACAGCUCAAAUUUGAAAGCUGCCAACAGGCCGCGUUGUAAUUUGUAGAAGCUGCUUUGGGUGUCGGCCCGGUCUAAGUUCCUUGGAACAGGACGUCAUAGAGGGUGAGAAUCCCGUAUGUGAUCGGUGCCGUUGCCCGUGUAAAGCGCUUUCGACGAGUCGAGUUGUUUGGGAAUGCAGCUCAAAAUGGGUGGUAAAUUUCAUCUAAAGCUAAAUAUUGGCCAGAGACCGAUAGCGCACAAGUAGAGUGAUCGAAAGAUGAAAAGCACUUUGGAAAGAGAGUUAAACAGUACGUGAAAUUGUUGAAAGGGAAGCGCUUGCAACCAGACUUGCGGGCGGUCGAUCAUCCGAGGUUCUCCCCGGUGCACUCGAUCGUUCUCAGGCCAGCAUCGGUUUCCGGGGUGGGAUAAAGGCGGUGGGAAUGUGGCUCUUCGGAGUGUUAUAGCCCACCGUGCAAUGCCGCCACUGGGGACCGAGGACCGCGCUUCGGCUAGGAUGCUGGCGUAAU